GUCUUGCAGGCUGGGGUCCCAGGUGAGAGAUGCCAGCAGGGAGCUCUAGAUGGGGAACUGGGUGAGCCUGGCUCGGUAAGGGCGUGCUCAGAACACCCCAUCCCCGAACACGGUCUUGUGUGAUAAAAUGUCACGCAAGAAGAAUCUGAAACCGCGAGAAGAGGAGGACACGGCCAGACUGCACCGAACCCCGGCACCUCUGUGGGGAAAAGCAGGUCAGGCUGAGCGGGGCCGGCGGGGACACGCGCUCCUGGGCUUCUCCAGAGUCUGCCGGGGCCGGGCCCGGGACCGAGGCUGGGACGCGCUGUGCAGUCCCACCCCUCACACCCCUCGCACGCCUGGAAACACCCUCGGGGUAACACAAGCCGGGGUUGAGUUUCUUGAAGAGAAGCUGGCUGCAUCCUGGAGCCAGGGAAAGAGGAGCACAGGGGCCAAGCGGUCCAGGGCCACGGAGGAGCAGGACCCCUGGGGAAAGGCCCGGGUCUAGGCCGGGGCCAGGGGACCGUGGUGGAGACCUCAAAAAUGGCAGAACACGGAAGCAGGGCGAGAAAAGUAAACGUAGUCCUUGCGGCAGUUUGAAAUACACGCGGGUAAACGCUGGGUGACUCCGCCCGGAUGCAGAGUGGGGGUCUGUGUCUCUCCCCACAGGCUGCAGGGACCGGGCUCUGGGUAACCAGCAGAAGGUAACAGAACGAGGCUGCUUUUCCUCCAGGCUGUUCUGGUGUCCGCGCGUGGCUUGUGCGCUGACUCCUGACUUGGAGCGCCGCGUGGCCAGAGAAAUCUGGGUGCCUCCAGGCCACCAUGGUGAGAGGAGAGGCCACCGCACGAACGGAAGAAGCGAUGGAGACGGUCUUUACGACCUAAGAACAGAAAGAGUUUCUUAUACACAAUCCGAAAAGUAAAAAUUGAUUGAUUGAUUGAUUGAGAUGGAAUCCCACUCUGUCGUCCAGGUUAGAGUGCAAUGGCUUGAUCUCGGCUCAUUGCAACCUCCGCCUCCCGGGUUCAAGCGAUUCUCCUGCCUCAGUCUCCCGAGUAGCUGGGAUUAUAGGCGCCCGCCACCACGACUGGCUAAUUUUUAUAUUUUUAGUAGAGACGCAGUUUCACCGUGUUGACCAGGCUGGUCUUGAACCCCUGACCUCAGGUGAUCCGCCUGCCUCGGUCUCCCAAAGUGCUGGGAUUACAGGCGUGAGCCACCGUGCUGGGCCAAAAAUCAAUUUUAAAACGACCACAUGAAAAAUAAAUCUCCUGUAUCACAGAGCAUGUUCUGAGGAAAAUGAAAGCCACAGAUCCAGAAGAUAUUUGUGACACAUAUGAAAAACAAAAACUCAUAUUCAAAACAUACACAGCAUUGCUAUGAAUCAUUAAGAAAAAUGAUUUCGUCUCCUCUACAGGAGCCUGAGUGAAGGACAAGGACAGAUCAUUAUAAACCAGGGAGCUUGAAGAGCUAGUUAACAAGCACAGAAAAUAUGUUCCCCCACACUGUUAAUCAAGAAAAUUAAAACUGUAAUGAGAUGCCGCAUUGUAUCCAUGGGAUUUCUAAAAGUACAAAGUUCCACAAUACCCGUUGUUGACGGAGCAGGGAAACCGCAGGAGCCUGCAGGAGAUGAGAUUGUAAAUGUGCAAGGACAUUUUGGAGAAGAGUUGACAACAUCUCACUCACGUGUAUCAAGCCAAGUGCCGAAAGAAGAAUUGGUUGUCAUAAAGAAAACAGAAACCCAGAAUGGAUGUAGCUUAUCCCUCCGAUGGAAAGUUACAAAGAAGUUAAAAUGAAUGGGCUGCAUCUCUGUGUAACAAUUUGGAUCAAUAUCAAAGACACAUUUGUUAAAGCAAGGUGUACAAUGAAACCUGCAACAUGAUUUGUCUGUUUAGUAAAACACAGAAAAUCUAACUCCGCCUGGCUUACGAACACACACAUGUGUUAGAAUUUGGGAAAAGGAAAGGGAGGGAGGCCGGCUACACGUGAACUUUUGGAAAAUCUCAGAGGGUCUGGGGCACCAGGUGGAGACCAUGGCAGCCUUCAGGGAUAUGAGGUCAAAUGAGAUGCUGCCUUUCCACCAGAUAAAGAUUUACCUGGUGCCUCUGUUACUGCCCAGCAGCGCCUGAGGACGUGGGGGCUGCUGCCCAACACGGAGGCUGGGCUGGCCUGGUCCGUGGGCUCAGGUUCUCAUCCUCUGCACGUGCAUCUGCCUCCUGUGCGUCUCUGUGCACACGCUUGUAUCUGGAUGCAGAGUCCUGUGCCCAGUGUACAUGCACAGAUGUGCGCAUCUGGGUAGAUGUGCUGGUUCGCUGUGUGAGCAUGCACAGACCCUUGUUCACCGUGUGUGCGCAUCCGUGCAGUGUGGACAUCUGGACAGGACCCCGUGCUCCCUGUCUCUGCCGCUGAGAUGUUUCCUAGCUGUGCACAGAAUUCACUCUCCUACUGGAGGGCUCUGACUGAAAGCUCUGAUGCGGCAGGCCUUCUCUUGACACUUGGUUAAGAAGGAUGUGUUUGCUUCCCCUUCUGCCAUGAUUGGAAGUUUCCUGAGACCCCUCCAGCCAUGCUGAACUGAUUUCCUGAAGACACCAUCCCAGUCAAGUGGUCUGCCUCAUACUGAGCCACCAGACCACCCAGCAUGUCCUCACCCGCGUGGACAGAUGACAGGGGGCUCUGAGCAUGCCCCAGUGCACCUUACGCACCUGUGAAGGUUGGGAGCCUGAGUGCAGCUCCUGUGGCACUGCCCGUGGCCAGGGAGAUGCCUCCUCAGUGCUCCUGACCCUCGGUGGAGGACCGGCCAGCGUGUGUGCCGACAGUGUGUCCACACAGGUGUGCUGCGCCCAAUGGGCAAGUCGGAAACAAAGGAAAAUGCUCUCUGAAGGAAAAGGCAAAGCAAUUUGGAUUUCUGCGAGAAAAUGAGACUGCAUGUGGCACUGUAAAUACCCUUGCUGCUGAACUUCUCGCUCCCCCCAGAUACACCCUUCAUAUUGACAUGUCUAGAACCUUAAACUGAACCAAGUUGAAAAGUGAGAUUAAUUAGGGCUGAGUUAACAGUUAACACAUACAAUGAAAUAUUGAAUAAGGCUUACUGAGCAAACAAGAAUAUACAGAAGUGGAGGAGACAAAGAGGAUAUUAAAAAUGCAGACAGUGAUGAGGCAGAUAGCUGGGACAAAUAAUGAAAAAUAGUAAAGGAGAUAAGGCAGAUAUUGGAGGAGCAAAGAGUCUCUGAAAUAGAUAUCGGUAUUGAAAGAUGCUAAACACGCUUCUAAAGAGACUUUCUAGCCGACACAGGGAGCUCACUGAUGGAUGAAGUAGAAACAUUUUUAAAUGGAAUCAAACAGGGCAAAGCGGGAGAAGAAAAAGAAGUAGGUAAACCAGUAAAUUAACUUUUCUCGUGUGUGCUGUGUACUAUUUGUGAGUGAGCAAUGAACGCUGUGGCUCCCUGGAGGGGCUGUGGUGGGAAGUUUCACUGCGAUCAAGUAGAGGUGGUGCCUUUGGACCUCUUCUCCUGAACCUGCAGGGAGAGGCGCAGAAUAUUCACAAGGUGAAGAUGCAACAAUUCAAAUGAGUGUCCAGGUUUUCAGGGUGGUUGCUAAACCCCAAAAGACCGAUAGCUUCGGGCAAAAGACUGCAGAAAGAACAGCUUUACAUUUUUACGGAAGCAAUGGGAAAUAUACCCUGUAAGCCUUGAAAAAUUCCCGAAGGGAUUCCUGUUCAUUCCUGUGGAUCCUAAUGGGCCAGCAUAGACCUGUUAGUCAAAAGAGGAUUUAUCUACAUUGCACACUCAUUCAGGCAGGCAGGGAAGUCAACGCCACUUUCAGAUGUUUGUAGAGCAUGAACUCUGUCCGUUCCCACGCCCUCCAAAGGCUGUUACACAGGGAUGCCCGCUUCUGGACAGAAGUGAUUCAUGCAGGAUGAGAACCAUGACCACAGAAGAUUUUGUGCAUGUGGUUAUUUCAAUAUUUAAUUUAAGUGUAUGCAUGAGUGUUCAGGAUAAAAAUGCUUGGAGUGUACUUUAAUUCCAUUAAAAAUGUAUACAUUA
rnacentral:lncRNA from 1 species